rnacentral:RNase_P_RNA from 1 species
CGGAGCUGGCUGGUGGUUACGGGGGCACCCCCUGAGGAAACUCCGUCCUCCGCACGGCACCGGGACCCCGUAAGGGGUGCGGGGAGACCCGCGGCAACGGCACAGAAACGACACGCCCGCAUUAAAUGUCUAUGAUGCGGUGAGGGUUGGGUAGUAAUACCCAACCAGUAACCCGCUGAGUAUGGUGUAGGGUGCGUUGAAACGGCCGACCCCCGGGGAGUAAGGCCAAGCAGCAUCGAUGAAUGCCGUGUGAGAUGCGGGUAGGCCGCUAAGCCUAAUACCACCGUAGUACAGAAGACGGGUUAUAGCCGGCACCG